ACACGACUACAUUAGACGUACCCGGGUAGUCCUAGCCGUAAACGAUACUCGCUAGGUGUCGGCCACGGUGCGACCGUUGUCGGUGCCGUAGGGAAGCCGUGAAGCGAGCCACGUUGGGAAGUACCGGCCGCAAGGCUAGAAACUUAAAGGAAUUGGCGGGGAGCACCACAACGGGUGGAGCUUGCGGUUUAAUUGGAUUCAACGCCGGAAAUCUUACCGGGACCGACAGCAACAUGAAGGCCAGGCUGAAGACUUUGCCGGAUUAGCUG
rnacentral:rRNA from 1 species